CGAAAAUAAAAAAAAAAAAAUCUUAACUUUUUUGGUUUUACAGAUGUUGGUGGAAUUGAUUGAAAUCUUGAUUCCUCCCUGGUUUGAACUGCUCCUUUUUCCCCCUUGGUGGAAUGUGCUGGUACCCCCUUGGUGGCUUUCCGGAAAAACUAUUCCGAUGUCUCCUUUCCCAGGUAUUUCAAGAAGUUUUUUGGCUGUAAUCACCCAUAAAUUGAAUAUUUUGGAUUUGGAGGUUAUGUUUCGUUUUUUGUGUGGCCUCUUUUCUCUUUUUAACUAAAUACAAGAAUAUUUCUUAAUCUACGACGGAAAUACGGACGGAUUUAUCAUUGAUUAAAACAUUUUUACAAAUAACGAAAUCAAUGAGAACUAUAACAAACUUUUAUGAAAUUUUUCAACAAUCAGCUUUAACUAUCCUCGGUAUAUCAACUUUGAUAUCAAUACGUGAGUUGUUCUUUAUAUUUUAAUUAUAAUAUUAAUUUGAACGAUUUGAAGAAGUACUAAUAAACUCUCUAGGCUCUCGAUUUACAAGGAUUUUUCUACGGAAUGUCAUUAUUUCCUCUUUAUUGUAAUUAUUUCUUAUAACAAAACUAUUGUUUAUUAAUUAAUUAAUAAAAUUAUGAGUGGAACCCAA